AGUCGAACGGAAGUCGUUGUAAUGAAAUGGAAAUGGACAGAGAACUUGUUCGAAGAAAGUUGAAGUAGACUUACAACAAUGGCUUUAGUGGCGGACUGGUGAGUAACGCGUAAGGAACCUGCCUUUUAGAGGGGAAUAACAAUGAGAAAUCAUUGCUAAUACCGCAUAUGCCGAGAGAAUCACAUGGUACAAUCGGGAAAGGAGCAAUUCGCUAAAAGAUGGCCUUGCGUCUGAUUAGAUAGUUGGUGGGGUAACGGCCUACCAAGUCGACGAUCAGUAGCCGGACUGAGAGGUUGAACGGCCACAUUGGGACUGAGAUACGGCCCAGACUCCUACGGGAGGCAGCAGUCGGGAAUAUUGCGCAAUGGAGGAAACCCUGACGCAGUGACGCCGCGUAUAGGAAGAAGGUUUUCGGAUUGUAAACUAUUGUCGUUAGGGAAGAGAAAGGACAGUACCUAAGGAGGAAGCUCCGGCUAACUACGUGCCAGCAGCCGCGGUAAUACGUAGGGAGCGAGCGUUAUCCGGAAUUAUUGGGUGUAAAGGGUGCGUAGACGGGAAGAUAAGUUAGUUGUGAAAUCCCUCGGCUUAACUGAGGAACUGCAACUAAAACUGUUUUUCUUGAGUGCAGGAGAGGUAAGUGGAAUUCCUAGUGUAGCGGUGAAAUGCGUAGAUAUUAGGAGGAACACCAGU
rnacentral:rRNA from 1 species